UGUCAAAUCUGACGGUUUUGACAGAUAUAGUCUAGUCCUUUAAGGUACUCAAAAUAAUCUACAGUUAAUAAGUAUUACACUUCUUAUGAAAACAAUCUACGAAGGUCUCUUGCCUAUCGCAUCCAGUCCAGACUAAUAAUAAUCCAGAAUGUCCAUCAAGAACGACCAGCUAUUGAAGGGGUGGUGGCCUGCGGAUUAUGACGCCCGGUGCAUUCGGAUCGAGCGCUGCGUCCAAGCCAGUAAAACUGUAAGAGCCUAUAAUAAAAAUCAAACCUGCGAAAAUUAUAUAA